UAGCUCAGCUGGGAGAGCGCCUGCAUGGCAUGCAGGAGGUCAGCGGUUCGAUCCCGC
rnacentral:tRNA from 1 species